UCGUUGAGAGUUGUAUAAAUAAAAGUUGUUGUGUAGGCCUAAGAUUAGCCACCACAAAAAAGUUUGUUAUAAAAUAAUAAAAACACAUAGAAAUAUUAUUAUACACCGUACCACACCAAACUAUAAGGAUAACAACCUAAACUAAUAGGUUGAUACACCUAUGCUAGGAUGAGUAUUAAAAUUAUUAUAAACUAUAAUAACAAAAGUUUUCUUAGAAAUUAUUUUUAAUAUAAAUUAAAGAGAAGGAACUCGGCAAAUGUUGUUCCGCCUGUUUAUCAAAAACAUGGCUCUUUGAAAAAAACAUAUAAAGAGUCGAACCUGCCCAGUGAAAUUUUAACGGCCGCGGUACCCUGACCGUGCAAAGGUAGCAUAAUCACUUGCCUUAUAAUUGAAGGCUGGCAUGAAUGGUCUGACGAGAGCUACACUGUCUCCUCUUUAUUAUCUAGAAAUUAACCUAUAGGUGAAGAGGCCUAUAUAGUAUUGAAG
rnacentral:rRNA from 1 species